rnacentral:misc_RNA from 2 species
AAGUCGUAACAAGGUUUCCGUAGGUGAACCUGCGGAAGGAUCAUUACCUAGAGUUGUAGGCUUUGCCUGCUAUCUCUUACCCAUGUCUUUUGAGUACUUACGUUUCCUCGGCGGGUCCGCCCGCCGAUUGGACAAUUUAAACCAUUUGCAGUUGCAAUCAGCGUCUGAAAAACUUUAAUAGUUACAACUUUCAACAACGGAUCUCUUGGUUCUG